UUCGGGUUGUAAACCUCUUUCAGUAGGGAAGAAGCGUAAGUGACGGUACCUGCAGAAGAAGCGCCGGCUAACUACGUGCCAGCAGCCGCGGUAAUACGUAGGGCGCAAGCGUUAUCCGGAAUUAUUGGGCGUAAAGAGCUCGUAGGCGGUUUGUCGCGUCUGCUGUGAAAGACCGGGGCUCAACUCCGGUUCUGCAGUGGGUACGGGCAGACUAGAGUGAUGUAGGGGAGACUGGAAUUCCUGGUGUAGCGGUGAAAUGCGCAGAUAUCAGGAGGAACACCGAUGGCGAAGGCAGGUCUCUGGGCAUUAACUGACGCUGAGGAGCGAAAGCAUGGGGAGCGAACAGGAUUAGAUACCCUGGUAGUCCAUGCCGUAAACGUUGGGCACUAGGUGUGGGGGACAUUCCACGUUUUCCGCGCCGUAGCUAACGCAUUAAGUGCCCCGCCUGGGGAGUACGGCCGCAAGGCUAAAACUCAAAGGAAUUGACGGGGGCCCGCACAAGCGGCGGAGCAUGCGGAUUAAUUCGAUGCAACGCGAAGAACCUUACCAAGGCUUGACAUGG
rnacentral:rRNA from 1 species